GUUUAAUGGGAUAGCCUAAUUCUGGCAAAUAAUUGAUCUUUGACUAUUAGCAGUAAAUAUGCCCAAUGGCCUGUGAUGGGAUGUUAGAUGGUGUGGGGUCUGAGUUACUACAGAGAAUUCUUUCCUGGGUGUCUGGCAGAUGAGUCUUGCCUACAUGCUCAGGGUCUAGCUGACCACCAUAUUUGUGGUUGGGAAGCAAUUUUCCUCCAGGGCAUAUUGGCAGAGGCCCUGGGGUUAUUUUGCCUUCCUCUGCAGCAUGGGACACGGAUCAC